UCUCAACUAAAUCUUGAGAUUUUACUAGAAUUUUUUUUUUCUUUUUCUUCAGGUUGUUGGACUUUCUUUUUUCCCAUAUUUUUUCUCUAUCUGUACAGACAAUAUAGACAUUCACAAUCAUGUCCACUACUUAAUAAUUUCCCGUUUGUACACAAUUCUAAGCACAAUAAGUGCCUGAACAUGGUAGGGUAAAAGGAUAACCCACGCCCCCUAAUAUCACUAAUGCUUGCAUUGCAGAUGUCAAAAUCGCUGCUAUACUUGCUCAACCCGCUCCCAUAUACGAAACUAGAUUCAUCUUUCCAAUUGACCACACUCCAAUAACAUGCCUCUUCAAUGUAUUUAAAUUCACAUCUUUUAAAAUUUCCUGUAAUAUGACUCCAGUAAUAUGAAAUUCACAAAGUCCUUUCAAUCAAAUCUUAUAAAUUGAAUUAUUACAUAUAUUUAUGAAUUAACUUCAAA
rnacentral:lncRNA from 1 species